UUUAUAAUGUUUUAAAAUGUUAGUUUGUCCGUUUAAAUGUAGUAACCUAUGUGUGAGGCAAGUUACUAGCUAGCUAUGCUAACGGCUACAGCCAUUCGACCGAGCCUUUGUCCCCUUCAAAUGUGCUCAUGUGGGCUCCUGCAGCCACACACCUGUGUGGAGAAAAGCUAAUGACUAACGGCAUCGAGCGGCUACAGGCAGGGAGCGGUGGGUCUAGCGUCUGUCCUUUUUCUGUAAUCACAUACACCUGCGGGGAACAGCUGAUCGUUAUCGCCCUUCCAGCGGUGACAGACAGGAAGCGGUGGAUCUAGCUCGCUGUAGUAAGUUUGUGCUUGAUACUUGUGAUAUCUAAAUAUGUUAGUUGGGUCUGUUUAAAAUGCAGUAACCCACAUGUGAGACAAGCUAAUCGCUAGCGUCGCUAACGGCUACAGUGAGUCAACUGAGCCUUUGUCCCUUUCAAAUGUGCUACUCUGAGUUGGUGCAACCACACACCUGUGUGGGGAACAGCUAAUAGCGAUGGGCCUUCGAUCGGCGACAGGCAGGAAGCGGUGGAUCGAGCUUUUGUCCUGUUGACGUGCUGCCGCUCCUGUUUGUGUUGCGUUAGCCGUUAGCAUGCCUUUAGGCCUUUGCACUUUAGAGCUACAGCUGGUCGAUCGCUACAAAAAUAACCUGCAGAUGAACGCGGUUGUGUUUGUUAUUACCCCGUCCUGUGUCAGAGCCUAAAUCAACUUGUGAUUUGGGGUUAUGUCAUUGUUCUAUCAAAUUCUAACAUGAUUAGUUGGAAUGAUUACUGUGUUGUGUUUCAAGCUUAGUUGCUAAUUAGUCACAUCUCUACAAUACCUGCUGCUUAUCUGGUCAGUUACCGAUAGCUUGUACCAUAGCCAUUAUAUUUGUAGGACCAAUACAAUUUACAGUAAAUGUAACAGUCUUUUCUAUACUGUAGGAGGGCAAAUCCCAGUUGCCCACAUGCAAGGAGGCUGUCAAACAGAGAAAUCACUGCAGACUGUUGGUACACAGACAUCUGCUGCCCAGCUCAGGAGUAAAGUACCUUUUUGUUUUGAUGAGGUGAUGGUAAGGACAGCCACAGCUUCCAUCUGGUAGAGGACUGCUUCCGCUCAGUCUUCCAAAUAGUGAUGAGAACAAGGAUCACCACAUCUCCCUGUUUACCCUACUUUCAUGCAUUUCGUCUGCAAGGCCCUGCAAAAGCUUCUGACCUCAAACCCCCAGACUUCUUAAUUAACUCAGUAACCUAUACAUUGCACAUUGGAGUGUGAAGGUAACAGUUUGUUCUAGCUUUGGAGUAGUGGUGUAUUUUUUUGGUUUACAAUAAAGUUGGCUUUAACUAUUAUGUAUUUCACUGAACUCUGUUUCUGAAGGGAAAACACUUUUAUUUAGGAAAUCAUAGUAUUGAAAUUACAUGUUUUUCUCUUUCUAAUAUGGUAAGCUAUAAAGUUGAAGCGGCCAUAAAUAAAACGCAUAUAAAUUAUAUAUAAAUAAAGUUAAAAAAAUUCUUAAUGAGUGUUGCACUCACAAAAAACACAUUUUUACUCAAACGGUAAAGGAGUUAUUCUACAGGUGGUCUACAUCAAUCAUACUAUGAGUGUUUUAGUGUUUUAUCCAUCAGGAAACUGCCUUCAUCUACAACCCAAGCAUGAAGAGAUGGCAACUCAGAUUCUUCACCCCAGGAAUCCUCAGCACCAGCUCACUAGCCUCUGUAGACUAGAUACCUGUAACAACUUUAGAUACAGAGACAUAUUACUGUCAAAUUUAUCAUGAAUGACAAAAAACAUAAUUAAAAGCAGUAAAAAUACGUUAGGUCAAUAUAUAAUUUGAACCAAUGCUUUUUGUUCCCAGGUAGGUCAUGCAGUGAUUGCUCUAAAUAUUAAUGCACAUUUUUUAAAUAAAAUUGUCAGAGCAGCAGCACAAGUAAGACAAAAACAGUGAAAUGUGUAAAUGUAAAAUGUAUUUAUAUUAUUUCAGCUAUGCUCUCAAACUUAUUUAUUUGUAUAAUGUAAGCUAAAGUAGUGUUUUCUAUUAACGAGAGUUUUCCAGGUAAGUCGUGUUGUGAAUAUUCAAGCUGCACACGCCAUUUAGCAUUCGCAUUAGCAACCGCUAGUCGCUUUGCAAAUUACAUAAAUCAAUUAAAUUGAAGUAAAUGCGACAUUACCAAUGAGACACAUCUUGCAUCAGCCGAAAUGUGGUGACUUCAACAGCCUCCUUUUCAGCUUCAGGGUCAGAUUCGGGAUCGUAGACGUAUGGUUCUACUACGCUACGAACUAGCUGACUAAUGUCGUGCAGUUCUGUAGUGGGUCUUCUUCUUCUGUGGAGGAUUGCGGUGGAUUGCAUUCUCAAUGUCGCACUACUGCCACCUAUUGUAUCCUAACCGUGCGGUGGCUCGUAUCCAUGGAGCCAAUUUAAAAAAAAAAAACAACAACAAAAAAGGUAUGCGCUUCCGCCCAGAGGUGUGGUGAGCAGCUUCACUUGCGACACGCCCAGAAAACACAGCGUUUGCUGAUGGAGAGUGAAAACCACACAUUGACAGGGGCAGUGUGGACGAUCUAAAGGGUUUUAUGGGAUGAAAAUUUACAGAGACCUUACUGAGACAUUAAAGUCUAAUAUUUUUUAGAAUGAAAAGCAUGAUAUGACUCCUUUAAA